CAAUCCCGUCGCCCACAAGUCCUCUCCCCUCCCCAAUCCAGUCGCUCGCUCUCCCCUCCCCAAUCCCCUUCAUCUUCAUAGGCUCUAUCUUCUUCUCUCCCAUCAACAGAAGGUGAGCCCGUGCAUGGUGGUGGCGAUGCACAAGGCGGUGGUGCCAAAGCUCAGGGUUAGGUGGAGAUCUUCUUCUCGGGCGACCCCCUGUACUGGCAGGAGGAGGAAAAGCAGCAGCCCACACCACCUUCAUGGCCACGCUACGCCCCCGUUCUGGACCUCCUCGCGCCGUUCUGGAGGUGGAGCAGAUGGGUGCUCUAGGGGCGGUGCUGGGACAGAGGUGGAGGAGCAGCACGGGGCAACUCUGGGCCGGAGGUGGAGCAGCAAGGGGCGGCCAUGGGGGCGGCGCUAGGUGGAGAGGGGCUUGGCUAAGAAUUAGUCCACCUACAGGUCCGUCCCUCCCUCCUCUUUCUAUAAUCCCCACAUCUUACCAUCUUUGUUUUGCAUGGUUUUCUCUCUCCAAUCUUCCACAUAUCCUCAUCUUUGUUUGUGCAGGUUUUAGUUUAUCUAUGCCUACAAGGUGUUUGUCAAAAAUCCUGUAAGGGAGAGAUGAACCAAAUCUGAUAUUGCUCUGUUGUUUACUCAAGAAUUUCGUUUUUUCCUGAAAUUUAGCCCUAAACCAGAGUAACUCGAGUUGUCGGUCUAGCAUAGAACAAGGCUAUAUUUCUCUAAUUUUUUUGUCAGUGAAACUAAUUUUGGAUUUGUAUCUUAUUGAGUAAUGCCCAGAAAGUCAUUUCUUUGAUUACAUUGUUAUUUUGUAGGGCAUAACCAAAUCAUCAAUUCUGGCUUCUUCCUAAUGCUACCUGAACAACUUGGAUUCUGUCAAUGUCUUAGCCUGAGGUUUAAGGGUUAGAUUUUAACUUUUUGUCCGAAGUUACGUCAGACCAACAUCAUUUUGUUCUUGAGAAAUUUUUGUAGGGUUUUCGUUUAAUAACAAUCUGCAACAGUACUUAUGCUCCUUAUAUGUAUUUGCACUUUUAAAAUCUGUAUAUUCUUUUCUAUAUGAUGCAUUUCUAAACAAAUUGUGUUAAACAAAGCAUGAAAUCUUAUUUCCAGAUCAUUGACGAUAUAGCUAUGAGUAUAUUUUAAACAGCCUGCAGUUUCUAAAUUGGAUUAUAUUGAUAUGUGAAGAUAUUCAGGUAUGAUCUUCCAAUUGAUCUUAUAAUACUAUGAAGUUAGUACCCAACUUCUUCAGUUCUUAAUAUACUAUAUUUAAAGCCUUUGUACGUGCUAACAAUAAUUGUACAGUUCUGGCCCUUUUUUAGUGGUGUACCUUCCUUUUCAUUACGCAGAUACAAAGGGUGCUCAAUUGGUCAACUUAGCAAUCUGAAUGGUAUUUUUAAUUCAUGUUAAUAUUCUCUUUCAAAGCUUUGGCGUUUGACACCAAAAUGAAUUUAUAGUUUGAUGACUAAUCCACUAGAGCUUGGUAAUAAUGGAGAGUUGGUCUUUGUUAUAUCAUCUAGCUGCAACUUGACUCUGUUCUUGUGUAUCUUGGUACAUCAACUCUUCAUACGAUUGUGCAUGUCACAGAUAUGAGAUAUAUAAUUCUUUGCGGUGCUAAUUUCUUCGCUCAUUGUGUUUUCUGUGUUGAUUAUUUAUGUGCUUACUCUGUGUAUUUGUAUUUAUCUUUUCGCUAGCUAAAUUAUAUUUGGGACUGGAAGACCGAGGAGGUUGAGAAGGAAGGCGCCGCCGUGGAUGCCGAAAAUAUAAAUGAUGUCGUUGUUGAUGAUAAGCGGGGGACCAAAAGAAAGAUAAACAUGUAGAACUGCCGAAUAAGAAUAAGAAGCAUCCACAGAGGUUUGCGUAUUUUAAGUUUUUGCAUUGGCACCUAAAUCUCAAGGAAAAUCAUUUAGUAUGAAUUCUCCGAUGCUAUUUUCUUCCUCCAUAAAUAUGACACUUAACUGCAUGUUUUAUUUCUUAUAUUGUAGUAUAAAUGGCCUAAUUACCUAUACCAUCUUUACAUAUAAAUAUGGACUGAAACAAGUAUUUUUUUCCUAUUACAUUACAGAUAUUAAUUGAAAUUGAGUAUGGAGGAAGAUUCAGUGUUCAUCCCAAGAGAUAUAAUCCUUCAUUUCUGUUCUCUUGAUUUCAUGGAUGCAUGAAUAUUCAUCGGUUUUUGGGAUCCAAUUAAGCAUGAUUCUUUUGCAAAGUCCACUAUUGUGUUUUAUUGGCCUCUUAGGACCAUGAUUUGUGUUUCUGGUUUCUUAUCUUCGUUCUAAUGUAGGGAUAACCAGCUUUGGAAAACUUUGUGGUUUUUUGUGUUAAUUGUAUGGCAUUAUUAUCUGGUAUAUCGUGGUUUACGAUAGCAUUGUUGGUCUUUUAUAUAUUUUGGAUGAAUUUCUCGCACUGUCAGUUCAACAUUCGUAUAUUUACUUAGUGCUUCUGUGUUUUUCUGGUAAUGGUGGCCUUAUAUUCUUUAAUAAGAGAAAGUACAAAAAUUGAAGGCGAUUCUUACUGGAAAUUUGUUGAUCAGUAAUUAUGUUACUUUCUACAGGAUGCCAGUUGUCGUGUUUCUAAAAAAAAAAAUUUCGCUGUAGCUUGUGCAGGUGCAUCUGAAUGAAGUAUGGUAUUGUGUAAUAUCUAUCAUUUACGUUCCAGAGUUUUCACAUGUGUCCCAUAAAAAUCCUGAAGAGAAUUUAAGGCGAGUUCUUGAUGGAAGUGCAUUUAGCAUUUCUUUCAAGGCAGAAACGAGCAGAUGCUUGAAAUUAUCUCAUUCUUGCAUCAGUUUACAAAUAGUUACAUUACAUGGCUAUUAAUUACAACGAUGGAUUCUCAGGCCGGAGCACUUGGCAGUAGCUGACCAUUUAGAAGGGAAGGUAAAAUUGGACAGUGUAUAUUUGCAUAUCUUCACAGCAACUUCAGAGUGCCAUUUUUUUGUUUCACCAUAUAAAUGAUUAUGUUUAGCUAACUGAUGUUAAAGGUCAGUGUUCAUGUGCCCAACGCCUAGAACUGCUGCUGAAGGUAAAACCGUGGUUUUAGCAAGUGGAAACAACAACAUCAAGUGUGAAAUGAAAAAAAUUGUGCCCUGAAGUUUCGUCUGAAGAUACCAUUUAUACGUCACAGCAAUAUACUUUGCUAGAAUAGGUGUAGGUCUCAUAUACUCCAAGAAGUUAAUUGGAUAAUUGCAAUGGUUGUAGCAGCUCAAAUUAUUUGGAUUGAAAAUAUUUCUGCUACAGAGAGUCCAAGUAUUGACUGAACAAUGAAAAUCUUCCAGCUAAUAUUUAUUUCAUGAUUUACAGGGGGUUUUACCUUUGUGCAUCGAUUCUAUCCUGUUUUGCUGCCUUUCUGAUAAGUACCAUGGCGUCAUUGGAUGGACUUGCAGGUCUGGGGAUGAUGGAGCCCUCGGUUUGACAGAUGAAGACGUUACCAGUCAUGCGUUCGCGGCUCUGGCAAAGGGAGCGACCAUGGGGGCUAAAAAGUGAGGGGUGCGUCCUCCUGCAUCAAAUUAGGUCAGUGGGAUAUUGAGUGUACCACAUAUAUGUGUUGAGGAAAUAUCGUUUGGUUGUCUCAACUCUCCCACGGGCUCUGCCAUCAGUCGUAAAACUCUCUUGACUUGGUGGUGUCAAAGUGGGCAGUGUUUUAUCUGUCAAGAGAGCCAUGUUUCAGGAGUUGCCUCCUUUGAUUGGGUCUGAAGAGGUUGGUUUAGCUAGGGUCGAUGAUUUCAACCUGCCAGCUGACCUACCUAAAGAUAAAAGUUAGCUUCUAUUCUUAGUGGGAACAGUCUCCAAUGUAUAGGUAUGUGUCUUGUGUUUUUAUGCUGGCCGAAGUUUUCUGUAUAAUGUUAGUUGGCAAGGGCGCUGUGAGAGUAAGUUGUGGCAACUGCGUCGAAACUUCAGACAGGAAAGAGGUUCUACAUCAAUAGCGAUAACAUCAAAAAGAUUUUUUUUUAAUGUUUAUGCUUUGAUUGCCUUCAAAAUAUUUUUCUUUUCUCGAAACUAUCUGCAGUUUCAGAUGACUUGCAUGUAAAAUAUACUACUGCACUCUGUUACGUGACUUGACUGUUUAAUAAAUUGACUCUCUUGGCCAUGGUACUUGCCUGUGUAAGCUAUCACAUGGAGAAAUAUAUUUGUGCGUUAUUUUCUGAGAAACAUAUCAAGUAAUGUCUAUCAGAUUUUAAGCCCAUGAUCCAGUUAAGAUUGUGCAGAUUUUGACUUUUGUCUAGGAUUUGUGUGCCAUUGUUUUUGGCAAGGGAUAGUUCAAAAGAUGUGUAUAUGCCAUAACCUGUCAAAUUCAGGAUAGAGCUUUAGCUUCUUAGACUUAUAGAUUAUGCUGCUAAAUAGAAGAUGAUUUCUUUUGUAUGGACUGGAACUGCAAUUGUUAAUUAUUGGUUGUUCUUGAUAGAAUCCCUUGAUCUUAUAUCCAAAUUUAGAAGAUUUGUAACGUCUUGUGAUUUGUCUCAAUGGAUUUUACUUUAUCAACACCCUUUCAUUGAAUAUGCAGUAAGACCAAAACAUGAGAAAUGGGUUUUAUUUUCUCCCAAAUAUGGUUGUCUUAAUUGGCUUCAUGCACAUAGUGUAGAUAAUUAGCCAUCUAUGUGCCCUUUAUUGCAGCCUCGAGGGGACCUUAGUUGGCACUUGAUGGCCUGUCUCAUCUUGUUUUUAUACCAAAGAGUUGGAGAAAAGAGAGUAAGUUAAUUCUGAAUUUGAAGAUGACCUUGGACAGUGGCUGCAGAACCUGAAGUAUCAUAUUUAACUCAAUUAUUGACUAUAACCCAGUUGAGUUGUAGCAGCCUAACUGAGGUUGUCCAACACCAUGUUAAAUGUAUCUAACUGCAAGCACUAUAAUUCUACUAAUUUUUCUUUUGGUCUACAUCCCUCUCCGUCAUGCUCAGAUACACUGUUGUGUUUGAGCAGGACCUAAUUGUCUCACGCAAGCUCAGACAGUGAUAGCAAGUGCAAGAGAGACGAAAAUUUCUGAAGAUGUUGCGACUGAAGAUCCAACUCUGAAGCCUACUCCUAUCACGUUUCUGCAACACAUUGGCGCUGCAGUGUGUGGCAUUCCGGACACUGAACUUGCUGCUGAUCAGCUCUUGGCGCCUCGAUCUGAAGAUGCAAAAUUGAAGAACAGGCUCAAGUUGCUUCAAUUUCUUCAUGCUACAAAUAAAAGAAUUAUCGUGUUAUGUUUUCCAGAACAUUUGUGUUUUAUCUCCAUGCAAUGGUUUUGAAGAUCUUUCGGCAGUGAAUGCUGGCUUAUCUUAUUCGUGGUACGUGGUUUUAAUUA